GACGAACGCUGGCGGCGUGCUUAACACAUGCAAGUCGAACGGAAAGGCCCAGCUUGCUGGGUGCUCGAGUGGCGAACGGGUGAGUAACACGUGGGUGAUCUGCCUCUAACUUCGGGAUAAGCUUGGGAAACUGGGUCUAAUACCGGAUAGGACAAUCGUUUAGUGUCGGUUGUGGAAAGUUUUUUCGGUUAGGGAUGAGCCCGCGGCCUAUCAGCUUGUUGGUGGGGUAAUGGCCCACCAAGGCGUCGACGGGUAGCCGGCCUGAGAGGGUGGACGGCCACAUUGGGACUGAGAUACGGCCCAGACUCCUACGGGAGGCAGCAGUGGGGAAUAUUGCACAAUGGGCGCAAGCCUGAUGCAGCGACGCCGCGUGGGGGAUGACGGCCUUCGGGUUGUAAACCUCUUUCGACAGGGACGAAGCUUUGGUGACGGUACCUGUAGAAGAAGCACCGGCUAACUACGUG
rnacentral:rRNA from 1 species